rnacentral:rRNA from 1 species
AUUGAACGCUGGCGGCAGGCCUAACACAUGCAAGUCGAGCGGCAGCACUUCGGGUGGCGAGCGGCGGACGGGUGAGUAACGCGUAGGAAUCUACCUUGUAGUGGGGGAUAGCCCGGGGAAACCCGGAAUAAUACCGCAUACGCUCUAAGGAGGAAAGGGGGCUUCGGCUCUCGCUAUAAGAUGAGCCUGCGUGGGAUUAGCUAGUUGGUGAGGUAAAGGCUCACCAAGGCGACGAUCUCUAGCUGGUCUGAGAGGAUGAUCAGCCACACUGGGACUGAGACACGGCCCAGACUCCUACGGGAGGCAGCAGUGGGGAAUAUUGGACAAUGGGGGAAACCCGUGAUCCAGCCAUGCCGCGUGUGUGAAGAAGGCCUCGGUUGUAAGUA